CCCUAGAUGUUCUGGGCCGCACGCGCGCUACACUGACGAAGUCAGAGAGCAUGUCCUACGCCGACAGGUGCGGGGAAUCUUGUCAAACUUCGUCGUGAUGGGGAUUGAUUAUUGAAAUUCUUGAUCAUCAACGAGGAAUUCCUAGUAAGCGCAAGUCAGCAGCUUGCGUUGAUUACGUCCCUGCCCUUUGUACACACCGCCCGUCGCUACUACCGAUUGAAUGGUUUAGUGAGAUCUUCGGAUUGGCGCCACUGCGGCUCAGCAAUGGGCUCGGUGGAUGCCGAAAAGUUGAUCAAACUUGAUCAUUUAGAGGAAGUAAAAGUCGUAACA
rnacentral:rRNA from 1 species